UAUCAGAUGAGCCUAGGUCGGAUUAGCUAGUUGGUGAGGUAAUGGCUCACCAAGGCUACGAUCCGUAACUGGUCUGAGAGGAUGAUCAGUCACACUGGAACUGAGACACGGUCCAGACUCCUACGGGAGGCAGCAGUGGGGAAUAUUGGACAAUGGGCGAAAGCCUGAUCCAGCCAGGCCGCGUGUGUGAAGAAGGUCUUCGGAUUGUAAAGCAAUUGAGUGGGAGGAAGGGCAUUAACCUAAUACGUUAGUGUU
rnacentral:rRNA from 1 species